GGCCCGCUGGCGUAAUGGUAACGCGUUGCUCUCCUACUACGAGGUCGAUGUGUGUCGAGUCUUCCGGUUAAGCAAAGAUUGGGGGUUCGACCCCCCCGUGGGUCG